GACGAACGCUGGCGGCGUGCCUAAUACAUGCAAGUAGAACGCUGAAGGAGGAGCUUGCUUCCCUGGAUGAGUUGCGAACGGGUGAGUAACGCGUAGGUAACCUGCCUGGUAGCGGGGGAUAACUAUUGGAAACGAUAGCUAAUACCGCAUAAGAGUAGAUGUCGCAUGACAUUUGCUUAAAAGGUGCAAUUGCAUCACUACCAGAUGGACCUGCGUUGUAUUAGCUAGUUGGUGAGGUAACGGCUCACCAAGGCAACGAUACAUAGCCGACCUGAGAGGGUGAUCGGCCACACUGGGACUGAGACACGGCCCAGACUCCUACGGGAGGCAGCAGUAGGGAAUCUUCGGCAAUGGACGGAAGUCUGACCGAGCAACGCCGCGUGAGUGAAGAAGGUUUUCGGAUCGUAAAGCUCUGUUGUAAGAGAAGAACGAGUGUGAGAGUGGAAAGUUCACACUGUGACGGUAUCUUACCAGAAAGGGACGGCUAACUACGUG
rnacentral:rRNA from 1 species